AGUUCUGAAGGUGGCUGGUCAACAAACGGAUGUUGGUUGGUGAAAUUCGACAAGAAAACGAAAACAGUCGUGUGCAAGUGUAAUCAUUUGACUAAUUUUGCCGUACUUAUGAGUCCAUCGUCUGCAAAGAUAGAUCAUCCAGCAUUGAGUGCUAUAUCAUUGGUAGGCUGUAUUCUGUCAAUGAUAUGUUUAUUUAUAACUAUCGUUGUCCAUGCUUACUUUUGGAGAGUAUUGAAAUCGGACAAAACUGUUCUCAACAUGCAUCUGGCCUGUGUCUUGUUUGUAGCAUACAUCAUAUUUCUAGCCGGAGUAAACCAGACAGAAAAUAAGG